UGUAGUCAUAUUAUUAAGAGAAAAAGAGUGGAAGAAAGAAGAAGAAAAAGGAGAGGAGAAAGAGGAAGUGCACGGCCAAGGGGCAAAAAUUUGGCCCCUUGAAAUAGUGAUCAAAAAAUUAUUCUCUCCUAGAAUUCCAACCAAUUUGAAGGCCCUCUUCGACAUGGUAUAGUUGUUUCGGAAGAUAGGUCGUUCGUUUCAUCAUUUCCGCACGUUGGUCAAGGGAAGAGGUUGAAGAGAAGAGGUAAUAUUUAAUCCUUUUUAUGAUGUUAUGAAGGCUUGUUUACAUUGUAGUAUGAAGGAAGGGAUAGAAUUCAUGAAAAUAUGGGAGGGUUGUAUGGUAUAGCCGUGUGCAUGCCUAUGUUGUGGAGGCAAGAUUAGUUAAUUUUUAUGUAGUAUUUUAAUUGUUGUUGUUAUGGAAUUUAUAUUGGAAAUGAAAGUUUGGUAAUUUUGGUUGAAUUUGUGGGUGUUGGAAGGUGGCCGAAUGUGUGUGUGUGUGUGGUAUGAAAUGUGAAUCAAGUUUUAUGUAAUAAUUUAAUUGUUGUCGAUAUGUAUUUUAGGAUGCAAGUGAGAUUAUGACGAUUCUAGUGAAGUUGAAAUUGUCGGAAAGUUGUUGUAGAAGUUAAUGGGAAUCGAAGGUAGACUUCUUGCAUUGAUGGAAAAUAAUGUCGUUAGUAUUUUGGUUGUCCUCGUUGUGAGUAUUAUGAUAGAAAAUGAAGUUUUAAUAAUCCAAGUUAAGAUUAUAAUCGUGUGGGCCGCAUUGGAAGGAAAUGUAGUCUUGAUGUGGUUUCUUGAAUUUAUGAAAUGAAGUUGUAAAUGUAUGUAUUGUGACAUAAUGUGUGAAUUUGGAAGGAAAGAAUGUGUUUGGUGUUGUUCUCGGGCUUGGGGACAAUUUCGGGUGAGUUGGAACCUUGCUCGAGUCGUUUUGGAAAAUUUUGUGAAUUGUUGGAAAUGUUAUGGAAUCAUGUUUGAAUGGUUUUGGAUUGAUUAUAUAUCUUGAUUUGAACGUAAUUGGAAUAUCGUCGCAUUAUGCGAAAGAAGGUUGCUAAUGUUAAAGUGUGUUUACAUUAACGGUCGAUGUUGUUAGAAUGUUUGUUGUCAUUGUUGUUGAUAUUGUGGCCGGGUCAAAUUCCCAGAUUGUUGUUGUUGUUGAUUGGGAGCCGAGCCGUAUUCUCGGGGUUGGUAUAUUUACAGGGGAGGUGCUGCCGAAAUUCCGGCAGGAUACAAGUGAAUGUGUUUGAAAGGUUAAGGCAGGUAUAUGAUAAUGAAACUAACGAAUGGAUGGAUUCUCCUGCAUGUAGACAAACAAAUUGGAUGCAUAAGCGUAGCUGGAGGUCGCGGCACAGGUACCCACAAGUGGAUAGACGAGAUUAGCUGAAGAUGAUCCAGUGGAUUGGCGGGCUCCAUUUCCUCCAGGAGUGCUGCCGAAUCAGAGUAUGUAUGCUGUGAAGUCUGAUCAGUAUUAGAGACUUUGCAGACAGCGUCGUGGGUAAUGAUAGUCAGUCUGUAAGCGGCUACAUCAGCCGAUAUGUCAUUUUGUGUUAUGUAGUAAAUUUCAUAUAAUUACAGAUUUGUUAAAUUCUGGAAA